rnacentral:rRNA from 1 species
GACGAACGCUGGCGGCAUGCCUAACACAUGCAAGUCGAACGGAGAUUAUUUCGGUAAUCUUAGUGGCGAACGGGUGAGUACCGCGUGGGCAACCUGCCCUCUAGAUGGGGACAACAUCCCGAAAGGGGUGCUAAUACCGAAUGUGACAGCAAUCUCGCAUGAGGAUGCUGUGAAAGAUGGCCUCUAUUUAUAAGCUAUCGCUAGAGGAUGGGCCUGCGUCUGAUUAGCUAGUUGGUGGGGUAACGGCCUACCAAGGCGAUGAUCAGUAGCCGGUCUGAGAGGAUGAACGGCCACAUUGGGACUGAGACACGGCCCAGACUCCUACGGGAGGCAGCAGUGGGGAAUCUUCCGCAAUGGGCGAAAGCCUGACGGAGCAAUGCCGCGUGAGUGAUGAAGGAAUUCGUUCCGUAAAGCUCUUUUGUUUAUGACGAAUGUGCAGAUUGUGAAAAAUGAUCUGUAAUGACGGUAGUAAACGAAUAAGCCACGGCUAACUACGUG